rnacentral:rRNA from 1 species
CCAGCAGCUGCGGUAAUUCCAGCUCCAAUAGCGUAUAUUAAAGUUGUUGCAGUUAAAAAGCUCGUAGUUGGAUUUCUGGCGGGAGCAGCCAGUCCUGCCUCUUGCGAGGUUGUGCACUAGCGCUGUAUCCGGCCAUCCUUGUGGAGAACGUUUCUGGCAUUAAGUUGUUGGUCUCGGGAUCUGCAUCGUUUACUGUGAAAAAAUUAGAGUGUUUAAAGCAGGCUUAUGCCGUUGAAUAUAUUAGCAUGGAAUAAUAAGAUAGGACGUAGGUACUAUUUUGUUGGUUUGCGCACCCACGUAAUGAUUAAUAGAGACAGGCGGGGCUAUUCGUAUUGCAUUGUCAGAGGUGAAAUUCUUGGAUUUCUGCAAGACGAACUACUGCGAAAGCAUUUAGCAAGGAUGUUUUCA